rnacentral:rRNA from 1 species
GAGUUUGAUCCUGGCUCAGAUUGAACGCUGGCGGAAUGCUUUACACAUGCAAGUCGAACGGCAGCACGGGAGCUUGCUCCUGGUGGCGAGUGGCGAACGGGUGAGUAAUACAUCGGAACAUGCCUAGUCGUGGGGGAUACCGUAGCGAAAGUUACGUUAAUACCGCAUACGUCCUGAGGGAGAAAGCAGGGGAUCGAUCACUGAGCGCAUUGACGCAGUCAAUAAAGCUGCUUGGUGCAUUGAGUGAUCGACCUUGCGCGAUUAGAGCGGCCGACGUCUGAUUAGCUAGUUGGUGGGGUAAUGGCCUACCAAGGCGACGAUCAGUAGCGGGUCUGAGAGGAUGAUCCGCCACACUGGAACUGAGACACGGUCCAGACUCCUACGGGAGGCAGCAGUGGGGAAUUUUGGACAAUGGGGGCAACCCUGAUCCAGCCAUUCCGCGUGAGUGAAGAAGGCCUUCGGGUUGUAAAGCUCUUUCAGCUGGAACGAAACGGUACGCUCUAACAUAGCGUGCUAAUGACGGUACCGGCAGAAGAAGCACCGGCUAACUACGUGCCAGCAGCCGCGGUAAUACGUAGGGUGCGAGCGUUAAUCGGAAUUACUGGGCGUAAAGCGUGCGCAGGCGGAUUGUUAAGCAAGAUGUGAAAUCCCCGGGCUUAACCUGGGAAUGGCAUUUUGAACUGGCAGUCUAGAGUGCGUCAGAGGGGGGUGGAAUUCCACGUGUAGCAGUGAAAUGCGUAGAGAUGUGGAGGAACACCAAUGGCGAAGGCAGCCCCCUGGGAUGACAUUGACGCUC